rnacentral:lncRNA from 1 species
UGUCUCAGGUUAUAACCAGGUUAUAACCACGUUAUAACCAGGUAAUGUCUCAGGUCAUAACCAGGUUAUAACCUGUUUACAACCAGGUAAUGUCUCAGGUUAUAACCAGGUAAUGUCUCAGGAUAUAACUAGGUUAAAACCAGGUAAUAUCUCAGGAUAUAACCAGGUUAAAACCAGGUAAUAUCUCAGGAUAUAACCAGGUUUUAACCAGGUUAUGUCUCAGGAUAUAACUAGGGUAUAACCAGGUAAUGUCUCAAGAUAUAACCAGGUUAUAACCAGGUAAUGUCUCAGGAUAUAACCAGGUUAUAACCAGGUUAUAACCAGGUAAUGUCUCAGGAUAUAACUAGGUUAAAACCAGGUAAUAUCUCAGGAUAUAACCAGGUUAUAACCAGGUAAUGUCUCAGGAUAUAACCAGGUUAUAACCAGGUAAUGUCUCAGGUUAUGACCAGGUUAUAACCACGUUAUAACCAGGUAAUGUCUCAGGUUACAACCAGGUAAUAACCAGGUAAUGUCUGAGGAUAUAACUAGGUUAUAACCAGGUAAUGUCUCAGGAUAUAACCAGGUUAUAACCAGGUAAUGUCUCAGGAUAUAACCAGGUAAUGAGUAGGUAUUGUCUCAGGUUAUAAACAGGUUAUAACCACGUUAUAACCAGGUAAUGUCUCAGGAUAUAACCAGGUUAUAACCAGGUUAUAAACAGGUAAUGUCUCAGGAUAUAACUAGGGUAUAACCAGGUAAUGUCUCAGGAUAUAAUAGGUCAUGACCAGGUAAUGUCUGAGGAUAUAACUAGGUUAUAACCAGGUAAUGUCUCAGGAUAUAACCAGGUUAUAACCAGGUAAUGUCUCAGGAUAUAACCAGGUAAUAAGCAGGUAUUGUCUCAGGUUAUAACCAGGUUAUAACCACGUUAUAACCAGGUAAUGUCUCAGGUUAUAACCAGGUUAUAAUCAGGUUAUAUCCAGGUAAUGUCUCUCAGGUUAUAACCAGGUUAUAACCAGGUAAUGUCUCAGGAUAUAACCAGGUUAUAACCAGGUUAUAAACAGGUAAUGUCUCAGGAUAUAACCAGGUUAUAACCAGGUAAUGUCUCAGGAUAUAACCAGGUUAUAACCAGGUAAUGUCUCAGGUUAUAACCACGUUAUAACCACGUUAUAACCAGGUAAUGUCUCAGGUCAUAACCAGGUUAUAACCUGUUUACAACCAGGUAAUGUCUCAGGUUAUAACCAGGUAAUGUCUCAGGAUAUAACCAGGUUAUAACUAGGUUAUAACCAGGUCAUGUCUCAGGAUAUAACUAGGGUAUAACCAGGUAAUGUCUCAAGAUAUAACCAGGUUAUAACCUGGUAA